rnacentral:rRNA from 1 species
AACGAACGCUGGCGGCAUGCCUAACACAUGCAAGUCGAACGAACUCUUCGGAUUUAGUGGCGCACGGGUGCGUAACACGUGGGAACCUGCCUUUAGGUUCGGAAUAACUCCCCGAAACUUGUGCUAAUACCGAAUGUGCUCUUCGGGGCAAAGAUUUAUCGCCUUUUGGGCGGCCCGCGUUUGAUUAGCUGGUUGGUUAGGUAAAGGCUAACCAAGGCGACGAUCAGUAGCUGGUCUGAGAGGAUGAUCAGCCACAUUGGGACUGGGACACGGCCCGAACACCAAGGGAAGGAGGAAGGGGGGAAAUGAGAGCAAGGGGGGAAAGCCAGACGAGGAAAGGCGGGGGGAAGGAGGAAGGACUAAGGAUGGAAAAAUGCUUUCACCGGGGAGAAAAAGAAAGGAACGGGAAAAAGAAGUCCGGGCAAACAUGGU